AGCGGGAAGCCCUCCCCAAGAUGAGUUCUCCCUGGACCCUCGAGGUCCCUAAAGGUCCGUCGAAGACUACGACGUUGAUAGGCUGGAUGUGGAAGUGCAGUAAUGUACGCAGCUAACCAGUACUAAUCGACCGUGAGGCUUGACCAUAUAACACCCAAGCAUUUUGG
rnacentral:rRNA from 1 species